rnacentral:rRNA from 1 species
UUGGUAGCGUAGCUAACGCGAGAAGUUGACCGCCUGGGGAGUACGGCCGCAAGGUUAAAACUCAAAGGAAUUGACGGGGACCCGCACAAGCGGUGGAUGAUGUGGAUUAAUUCGAUGCAACGCGAAAAACCUUACCUGGUCUUGACAUGUACAGAACUUUCCAGAGAUGGAUUGGUGCCCGAAAGGGAGCUGUAACACAGGUGCUGCAUGGCUGUCGUCAGCUCGUGUCGUGAGAUGUUGGGUUAAGUCCCGCAACGAGCGCAACCCUUGCCAUUAGUUGCUACCAUUCAGUUGAGCACUCUAAUGGGACUGCCGGUGACAAACCGGAGGAAGGUGGGGAUGACGUCAAGUCCUCAUGGCCCUUAUGACCAGGGCUUCACACGUCAUACAAUGGUCGGUACAGAGGGUAGCCAAGCCGCGAGGUGGAGCCAAUCUCAUAAAACCGAUCGUAGUCCGGAUCGCACUCUGCAACUCGAGUGCGUGAAGUCGGAAUCGCUAGU